rnacentral:rRNA from 1 species
UGAGCGGCGGACGGGUGAGUAACGCGUGGGUAACCUGCCUCAUACAGGGGGAUAACAGUUAGAAAUGGCUGCUAAUACCGCAUAAGACCACAGCACCGCAUGGUGCAGGGGUAAAAACUCCGGUGGUAUGAGAUGGACCCGCGUCUGAUUAGCUAGUUGGUGGGGUAACGGCCUACCAAGGCGACGAUCAGUAGCCGACCUGAGAGGGUGACCGGCCACAUUGGGACUGAGACACGGCCCAAACUCCUACGGGAGGCAGCAGUGGGGAAUAUUGCACAAUGGGGGAAACCCUGAUGCAGCGACGCCGCGUGAGCGAAGAAGUAUUUCGGUAUGUAAAGCUCUAUCAGCAGGGAAGAAAAUGACGGUACCUGACUAAGAAGCCCCGGCUAACUACGUGCCAGCAGCCGCGGUAAUACGUAGGGGGCAAGCGUUAUCCGGAUUUACUGGGUGUAAAGGGAGCGUAGACGGCGAGGCAAGUCUGAUGUGAAAACCCGGGGCUCAACCCCGUGACUGCAUUGGAAACUGUUUUGCUUGAGUGCCGGAGAGGUAAGCGGAAUUCCUAGUGUAGCGGUGAAAUGCGUAGAUAUUAGGAGGAACACCAGUGGCGAAGGCGGCUUACUGGAC